UGCGUAGGCGGUUGGGCAAGUCUGGUGUGAAAUCUCCCGGCUUAACUGGGAGGGUGCGCCGGAAACUGCCUGGCUAGAGUGUGGGAGAGGAAAGUGGAAUUCCUGGUGUAGCGGUGAAAUGCGUAGAUAUCAGGAGGAACACCUGCGGUGUAGACGGCUUUCUGGACCACUACUGACGCUGAGGCACGAAAGCGUGGGGAGCAAACAGGAUUAGAUACCCUGGUAGUCCACGCCCUAAACGAUGCGGACUUGGUGUGAGCCCUUCAUUGGGUUCGUGCCGGAGCUAACGCGUUAAGUCCGCCGCCUGGGGAGUACGGUCGCAAGGCUGAA
rnacentral:rRNA from 1 species